UACUGUUGCUAUAUUUUGAUAAGUUUAAUGUUACUUGAUAAUUAUACCUGCCCUGUUAGUACAAUUUAGCUAACGUAGCUAACCUUAGCCCACGUGUGCAGCGCUCGGUGUUCCCAGUAAGCUAACGUUAGCUUGGGUCCGAGGUAGCGGGGCGUGUUUCACCCCUCACUCCUUAUUUGGAAGGUCAUGUCUCCGAACGGAAAAGAUGACGACCGACGGUAAGCAGCAACUCUGGGCUUCAAACCAGCUGCAAUGCAAACCAAAAGAUCCUCCGUCCAGGCUGGUUGACCGGUGACGGACAAACAAUCCACUAAAAGGUCUUCAAGAGCAGAGACUUGUGCAUGACGGCAAACCAGUUUCUGUUUCAUGCAGAGUCGGAGCAAAUGAGCUGUGAUUUGUCACGACGGCACAACGGGAAGCUUUAGCAAUCGCAGCGAACAUUUGUGAAAGUUAAUUUUGCAUAUUUGACUGGAACUGAAACCUUACCUGACCUGUUUCUGAGGUGUUCUGCUGCCACAAAUGCUGACUUCAAACACCAAGCAGGUCAAAAUAAGUUAAAUCACAUCUGGUUUGAUAUGUAAAGUGUUAUGAAACUUAUUAAUUUUGUCUUAACUUGCUAACACACAAGGCCUAAUAACUCCAGGCUUGUGCUGGGAGAUUGUGUAACGUCUUAAAGGAAAAUUCUGGUAUUUUUCAACUUGCUUCCUCUUUGUGUUCCCAUUAAAACUUUUAACAACUUCACUGUAGAGUUUUAGGAAUCAGGUCCUGACCUUUCAUAAAGUAAAAAUCUGCUUCA